UUAGUUGUGGCCAAGUGGUCAAGGCGAUGGACAUGAAAUCCAUUGGGGUCUCCAAGCGCAGGUUUGAAUCCUGCCAACUACG